UACGUAGGGGGCAAGCGUUGUCCGGAUUCAUUGGGCGUAAAGAGCGCGCAGGCGGUCGUACAAGUCGCGUGUGAAAGCCCCCGGCUCAACUGGGGAGGGUCACGCGAUACUGUUCGACUCGAAGGCAGGAGAGGGAAGCAGAAUUCCCGGUGUAGUGGUGAAAUGCGUAGAUAUCGGGAGGAAUACCAGUGGCGAAGGCGGCUUCCUGGCCUGUUCUUGACGCUGAGGCGCGAAAGCUAGGGUAGCAAACGGG
rnacentral:rRNA from 1 species